UACGGGGGGGGCAAGCGUUGUUCGGAAUUACUGGGCGUAAAGGGCUCGUAGGUGGCCAACUAAGUCAGACGUGAAAUCCCUCGGCUUGACCGGGGAACUGCGUCUGAUACUGGAUGGCUUGAGUUUGGGAGAGGGAUGCGGAAUUCCAGGUGUAGCGGUGAAAUGCGUAGAUAUCUGGAGGAACACCGGUGGCGAAGGCAGCAUCCUGGACCAAUAUUGACGCUGAGGAGCGAAAGCUAGGGGAGCAAACGGG
rnacentral:rRNA from 1 species